CCCUGAACUCCCCCGAGCCCAGGCGGCAGAUCGGAGCCUCUGCCCCUCGAGGGCCCGGGGCAGGACCCCGGCCUGGGACAAUGUGGCUUUGUCCUAGGGUGACCUGGCAGCACGUCCAAAUCCUGCCCUGGCUGCUGCAGCAAGGAGAAGCAGCUCCGGUCACUCUCCCCAAGAUCCUGCUGCCAGGACACCGUGGAUUCAGGGAGCACGUUGCUGCGUGUGCACCACUAUCCGGCGGUGCCGGAACAGGAGGGCCGGGGGCACUUGCCCUCCCACUUUUUACCAUCCAUACGGGUCAUCUUCCAGUAUGAACGUCCAAAGGCCAGACGCAAGCAGGAAUUCACCAUGGAAAGGGAAGAAUUCCAGGGUACAGCACUGUCAAGAACUGAAGCCAUCUCUGAAAGGAUAAGGUUAAAGAUCCUCUUUUCUACCGGGGUCAAGGAGAAGGGAGGAAAAAAGGCAGAACAGAUCAUUUCUGCACCACAAAUACGUUUUUGCAGCUUUGUGCAGCUGCUGCCACCACGACUCCCAUGCUGAUCCCUAAGUAAUGGCAUUCAAUACACCCAGGCCAGCGGUGCCUCCUGAAGUCAUGAUUGAAGGAACCCUUUAAGCUUCCCUGACAAGACAUUUUUCUGAGAUAAAAAACGAAUGCUGCCAGCAUGCAAAUCUCUCUCAAUUAGGCACAGCCCAGCUUACUGGAGCUCCGCUGUUUGGUGAUGACCAUCAUUAACUCUAGCAGCGCAGAAAAGGAAGCAAGGAUGCUCUCAGCAGGCUGCUGUCCCAGUUGGGUGCCACUGCUCAGAGAAACACUUGGGUUUGGCUGGCUGACAUCUGGAAUCACACUGCUAGUGAAGGAGGGCGAGCGAGAAAAGGGCUUUAGUCAGCUUCUUUACAACCCACUUGCCAUGAUGCCCUGGAAAGGAACAGAGACCUGCACAGUGCAGCUGGGACAGUUUGCAUCUGGGGUUCUCCUUCCCACCAGCACUGCAUUCACGGAUGUGAAAUCCCAGAUCGAUAGCUCAGGGGCCAGAGUUCUGUUUAGCCACAGAACAGGGGGGACAGUAGGUCGAAACAGGAGGGAGAGAUGUGGAGGGGCACCGUUUACCCAACUCAGAGCAAGUGCACUCUCCUCCGUUCCUCUUGGUUUAACCCCCGCUACAGCCAGGCAGGGCUCUCUAAGCCUCCCUAGGAGAGGAAUUCUGUCUCCAUGGCCCAGGAAGUCCGGCAACAAGAGUGCCCAAUCUGGGCCACUUAUGGAAGCUUGUGUCCUGUGGAAAUUGUCUGAGACCAUCCCCCAAGCAGCUGAAAUGUGGUAACAUUCCUGACCAGUGUUCCCCUGGGCUGGAUUUGACUCUGCUCCCUGGAGGUGAGCGUCUCCCUACCAGGCCCCCCCUCUACUCUGCUGUCAACCCCCUCAG